rnacentral:rRNA from 1 species
CUUCCGCCGGCGACCGGCGCACGGGUGAGUAACACGUAUGCAACCUGCCCCUGUCAGGGGGACAACCGCCGAAAGGCGGGCUAAACCCGCGUACAUGCCACCGGGGCAUCCCGGAGGCAGGAGAGGCUUCGGCCGGACAGGGAUGGGCAUGCGGCGCAUUAGGCAGUAGGCGGGGUAACGGCCCACCUAACCGACGAUGCGUAGGGGUUCUGAGAGGAAGGUCCCCCACACUGGUACUGAGACACGGACCAGACUCCUACGGAAGGCAGCAG